rnacentral:rRNA from 1 species
GACGAACGCUGGCGGCGUGCCUAAUACAUGCAAGUAGAACGCACAGUUUAUACCGUAGCUUGCUACACCAUAAACUGUGAGUUGCGAACGGGUGAGUAACGCGUAGGUAACCUGCCUGGUAGCGGGGGAUAACUAUUGGAAACGAUAGCUAAUACCGCAUAAUAUUGAUUAUUGCAUGAUAAUUGAUUGAAAGAUGCUAUUGCAUCACUACCAGAUGGACCUGCGUUGUAUUAGCUAGUAGGUGAGGUAACGGCUCACCUAGGCGACGAUACAUAGCCGACCUGAGAGGGUGAUCGGCCACACUGGGACUGAGACACGGCCCAGACUCCUACGGGAGGCAGCAGUAGGGAAUCUUCGGCAAUGGACGACAGUCUGACCGAGCAACGCCGCGUGAGUGAAGAAGGUUUUCGGAUCGUAAAGCUCUGUUGUAAGAGAAGAACGGGUGUGAGAGUGGAAAGUUCACACUGUGACGGUAUCUUACCAGAAAGGGACGGCUAACUACGUG